rnacentral:rRNA from 2 species
UUUAGAUUUAAAUAUUUAACUUGAGUAGUAGUAGGUAGGAUCUUGAAACUUAAAGAAUUUGGCGGUAUUUUAGUCUAUUUAGAGGAAUCUGUCCCGUUAUCGAUAUUCCACGUUGGACCUUACUUAAAUUAUUAAUAUGUAUAUCGCCGUAUAUUGAAAAUCUUAUUAGAGAUAAUUUUCUGAAUAUUUUAUUUGAUAGUAUUUCAGGUCAAGGUGCAGUUUAUAUUUAAGGGGAGAUGGAUUACAUUAUUAUUAUAUACGAAUUAAAUUUUGGAAUUGGUUUAGGAAGGUGGAUUUAAUAGUAAUUUUGAUAAGAUUAUUAAAGUGAUUUAAGCUCUAGAAUGUGU